rnacentral:misc_RNA from 1 species
UUUCCAGGUGCUAUUGUGCUAAGGGAUACUCACAGGAUAUCUACAACCAAGGAUAGGAUCAUAGCUUCAACAAUGAUAAUUCUGGCUGUGGUAACGAGUACAAUUGCCAUAUCAACCAAUAUAUAUAGCAUGACGUGAAAUAAGUCAUAGUUUCCUUUUCCUCGCUUCUUUCUUGCCCAAACGUUUUUGUAGUUGGGGUGCCUGUAUUUUUGUGUAUCCUUAGAAUCCAGCAGCCAAAAUUAAGCAGGUUCUGUGAAAAUUUAGUGUGCAAACUUGCAAGUCGAGCAGUUCAUUAGUGUCGCUAUCUACUGCAACGAAGUUCUGGAUACAAUUUUGCAUAAUAUCCUACAAUGAGGCUACAAGGAGGAACCCUCUUAUGAUAUUGAGUGAGACUCUUGGUGUCAGCAAUCAUCUCAGUUGCUCUAUCCUAUCUUUGAUAAAAAAUGAUAAUUCAGCUACCAAUUCUAUCAGUACAUCACAAUAUUUGCAGAACCCAUCUUUGUGCUUGUCUAUUUCAUUUCAUUUUAUUUCUUGAAAUGACAUAAACAGAGUGUUUGUUUCAAUCUCAUUUCAUUUUUUCCAGUCUCAAUGUUAUGUAAAACUAUCACAAUCAUGGGUUAUGGAACUGUGAAACAAAGUUCAGUCACAAUGCAGCACACGGAAAAGAAAUCGGUUGUAAUAUAUGUUUCACAACUCAUUUCAACAUGUAGGUUGUAGACGUACAUACUAGAAUUUCAUAAUCAGGAUUAUCCUGAACUAGUGAAAAAAAAUUGAAUUAUUUCACAUCCUUCUCUUAUCUAAGAAGAUAUAGAACAACUGCAACAAGGAGUGCUACAAUGGAUAAGUCCUGUUGCAUCUUCCAAUGGCUCUAAUUGCAAAGCAAUUUCAAUU